rnacentral:misc_RNA from 1 species
AAGACUAUAGACCUGCGGAGUACCUGCGGAAGGAUCAUUACUGAAGUGAUUUGGGGAUGUUGCUGGCCUCUCAAGGGGGGCAUUGUGCACUCCUCGAAACAAUUCACAAUUUCCAUCACACCCUUGUGCACAUCUUGUAGGCACCCAAACCCACGGGUCCUAUGUAUUCCUUCAUCUCACACUUUGUUGAAUGGUGCCAUUGGGACGCAUCUAAAAGAUUAUUUGUAAAAAAAGUAAUCA